CCUACGGGAGGCAGCAGUGGGGAAUAUUGCACAAUGGGGGAAACCCUGAUGCAGCGACGCCGCGUGAGUGAAGAAGGAUUUCGGUAUGUAAAGCUCUAUCAGCAGGGAAGAAAAUGACGGUACCUGAUUACGACGCCCCGGCUAACUACGUGCCAGCAGCCGCGGUAAUACGGAGGGGGCAAGCGUUAUCCGGAUUUACUGGGUGUAAAGGGAGCGUAGACGGCAGCACAAGUCUGUAGUUAAAUGCCGGGGCUUAACCCCGGAACAGCUUUGGAAACUGGGCAGCUAGAGUGCAGGUGAGGUAAGUGGAAUUCCUAGUGUAGCGGUGAAAUGCGUAGAUAUGAGGAGGAACACCAGUGGCGAAGGCGGCUUACUGGACUGUAACUGACGUUGAGGCUCGAAAGCGUGGGGAGCAAACAGGAUUAGAUACCCGAGUAGUC
rnacentral:rRNA from 1 species